UACGGAGGGUGCAAGCGUUAUCCGGAUUCACUGGGUUUAAAGGGUGCGUAGGAGGGCAGGUAAGUCAGUGGUGAAAUCCCCAGCUUAACUUGGGAACUGCCGUUGAUACUAUCUGUCUUGAAUACCGUGGAGGUGAGUGGAAUAUGUCAUGGUAGCGGUGAAAUGCUUAGAUAUGACAUAGAACACCAAUUGCGAAGGCAGCUCGC
rnacentral:rRNA from 1 species